rnacentral:piRNA from 1 species
UCGCUCACUGAUGGUGUCUGUUUGUCCA